AUGAAAUCUGAGAAUUUUGUGUCUGGAGGUAGUGUGGCUAUCAAGGUCAACAAUGACGUAGGCAAUUAUUUUCAGACUAGGAAGGGGCUUCAUCAAGGCGACCCCGCAUCUCCUAUCCUUUUCAACAUCGUGGCUGAUAUGCUAGUUACUCUCAUCGAGAGGGCCAAACUAGCUGGACAAAUCACCGGGGUUAUUCCUCAUCUAGUAGAAGGAGGCCUCUCAAUUUUGCAGUACGCGGACGACACAAUUCUGUUUUUGGAUCACGACCUUGAAAAGGCUAGAAACCUCAAAUUGGUAUUAUGU
rnacentral:rRNA from 1 species